GUGCUCACUUCAGCAGCACAUAUACUAAAAUUAGAACAAUAUAGAGAUUAGCCUGGCCCCUGUGCAAGGAUAACAUGAAAAUUCAUGAAGUGGUCCGUAUUUUU